GACGAACGCUGGCGGCGUGCUUAACACAUGCAAGUCGAACGGAAAGGCCUGCUUUCCCUUGUGGAUUGCGGGUGCUCGAGUGGCGAACGGGUGAGUAACACGUGAGUGAUCUGCCCCCAACUUGGGUAUAAGCCUGGGAAACUGGGUCUAAUUCCCGAUAGGACUGCAGGGUGGUGCCUGUGGUGGAAAACGAUUUUCUAGUGGUUGGGGAUGAGCUCGCGGCCUAUCAGCUUGUUGGUGGGGUAAUGGCCUACCAAGGCGGCGACGGGUAGCCGGCCUGAGAGGGUGGACGGCCACAGUGGGACUGAGAUACGGCCCAGAAUCCUACGGGAGGCAGCAGUGGGGAAUAGUGCACAAUGGGCGGAAGCCUGAUGCAGCGACGCCGCGUGGGGGAUGACGGCCUUCGGGUUGUAAACUCCUUUCGACCGCGAGGAAGCCACCUGGUUGGAAGGGUGGUGACGGUAGUGGUAGAAGAAGCACCGGCUAACUACGUG
rnacentral:rRNA from 1 species